UGUAGAGGGGGGGGUAGAAUUCCACGUGUAGCGGUGAAAUGCGUAGAGAUGUGGAGGAAUACCGGUGGCGAAGGCGGCCCCCUGGACAAAGACUGACGCCUCAGGUGCGAAAGCGUGGGGAGCAAACAGGAUUAGAUACCCUGGUAGUCCACGCUGUAAACGAUGUCGAUUUAGAGGUUGUGGUCUUGAACCGUGGCUUCUGGAGCUAACGCGUUAAAUCGACCGCCUGGGG
rnacentral:rRNA from 1 species